UACGAAGGGGGCUAGCGUUGUUCGGAUUUACUGGGCGUAAAGCGCGUGUAGGCGGGUCGUAAGUUGGGGGUGAAAUCCCGAGGCUCAACCUCGGAACUGCCUUCAAAACUGGCGACCUGGAGCAAAGAAGAGGCGAGUGGAAUUGCGAGUGUAGAGGUGAAAUUCGUAGAUAUUCGCAGGAACACCAGUGGCGAAGGCGACUCGCUGGUCUUUUGCUGACGCUGAGACGCGAAAAGCGUGGGGGAGC
rnacentral:rRNA from 1 species